rnacentral:lncRNA from 1 species
ACUAGUCGGGUUCAUUACCGUUGAGCCACAGUGGGAACUCCUAAAAUUUAUCUGUUGAAGAACCUGGUCCAUUUGACUUGUAGAGUUCCCACAAUCUGGACUUUACUAACUGCAUUUCAAGGACUGGUCAGCAUUGUCAUAUGUCUUUUGUAUUGUGUACAAAUUAGCAGCAAGAUGCAAAGGCAUUAUCAGACUCAAGUGAUUCCUUUGACGAGUCUACACAUUUUGUAUGGUUGCCUGGUUGUCCCUUUCUUUGUGAGAUGUUAGCAGCCACUGUUGCUCUUUGCCUAAAUCCAAUUCACAGGGGAUUGAAAACUGGUUAAUUCCUAAUUCUUUCUUUUUACUUAUUUGCUGAAAUACAUCUAUAAAGAGAUGCUUGCAACUACUUACAUACCCAAUAGUACAAUUCAUGUUGGAAAGGCAGAAUAAAUGCUUAACCCUUUCCCUUUGUUUGCCAGUUUUCAAGAUCAUGAAUUGGUUUCCUAUCAUACUCCAAAUGUGAUCAGCUUUUUAAAAUAUCACUGUGAGCUCAAAGAUUUAAGCAUAUUUGAUCAGUUUUAAUCCAUUGCACUUAUAUGGACACUCCAGUUGUCCCAUUUUUGCUCAGUAAGCUAUUCAAGUUGUUUCCUGGGUCCUUUUGUUUUUUGCGUUUUUUUUUUUUUUUUUGUCUUUUUGCCAUUUCUAGGGCCGCUUCCAUGGCAUAUGGAGGUUCCCAGGCUAGGGGUUGAAUCAGAGCUACAGCCUCUGUCCUGUGCCACAGCCACAGCAACAAGGGAUCUGAGCCGUGUCUUCGACCUACACUACAGCUCACCACAAUGCCAGAUCCUUAACCCACUGAGCAAGGCCAGGACUUGAACCCGCAAACUCAUGGUUCCUAGUCAGAUUCGUUUCCGCUGCACCACAACAGGAACUCCUCAUUGUCCAUUUUAUAAUCUUUGAAUUACAUUUUGUAAUUUUUAAGAGCCCAUCGUGUGUGUGUGUGUGUGUGGGGGGGGUGUCUAUAUGUGCUUUUUAGGGCUCCACCCACAGCAUAGGGAGGUUCCCAAGCUAGGGGUCUAAUUAGAGCCACAGCUGCCGGCCUAUGCCACAGCAACAGCAAUGCCAGAUCCCAGAUGCAUCUGUGACCUAUACCACAGUUCACAGCAAUGCUGGAUCCUUAACCCACUUGAUCGAGGCCAGGGACCGGACCUGCAGCCUCAUGGAUGCUAGUCAGAUUCAUUUCCACUGCGCCAUGUUGGGAACUCCCAAGAGCCCAUCUUUGAAAUUUAGUGUUUGCUCUUUUCAAAUGCCUAAAUGAAGGUCCUAAAAACAUGUAAUUAGUGUAAAUAUGAUCCUCAAACCCGCCUGAGGGUAGGCCUGUGUUUACACUUUUUUUUUUUUUUUUAACUUUUUAGGGCC